UACGGAGGGUGCAAGCGUUGUCCGGAUUAUUGGGUUUAAAGGGUGCGUAGGUGGCUUAUUAAGUCAGUGUUUAAAGUCUGCAGCUUAACUGUAGGUAUGGCAUUGAUACUGAUAGGCUUGAGUAAAGUUGAGGUAGGCGGAAUGAAGGUGUAGCGGUGAAAUGCAUAGAUAUCUUCAAGAACACCGAUUGCGAAGGCAGCUACUAAGCUUUAACUGACACUGAGGCACGAAAGCGUGGGGAUCAAACAGG
rnacentral:rRNA from 1 species